rnacentral:rRNA from 1 species
GACGUAGGAGACGAGCGUUAUUCGGAUUUACUGGGCGUAAAGCGCGUGCAGGCGGUUUGGUAAGUUGGAUGUGAAGGCUCCCGGCUCAACUGGGAGAGGUCGUUCAAAACUGCCAGACUAGAGAAUAGGAGAGGGAGGUGGAAUUCCGGGUGUAGUGGUGAAAUGCGUAGAUAUCCGGAGGAACACCAGUGGCGAAGGCGACCUCCUGGCCUAUUUCUGACGCUCAGACGCGAAAGCUAGGGUAGCAAACGGG